GAGGGUAUAGCUCAAGUGGUAGAGUACAUGCCUAACAUGCACGAGAUCCUGGGUUCAAUCCCCAGGACCUCCA
rnacentral:tRNA from 1 species